GAUUAAGUUAUUAAGGGCGCACGGUGGAUGCCUUGGCACUAGAAGCCGAUGAAGGACGUUACUAACGACGAUAUGCUUUGGGGAGCUGUAAGUAAGCUUUGAUCCAGAGAUUUCCGAAUGGGGAAACCCAGCAUGAGUUAUGUCAUGUUAUCGAUAUGUGAAUACAUAGCAUAUCAGAAGGCACACCCGGAGAACUGAAACAUCUUAGUACCCGGAGGAAGAGAAAGAAAAUUCGAUUCCCUUAGU
rnacentral:rRNA from 1 species